rnacentral:rRNA from 1 species
GAUGAACGCUGGCGGCGUGCCUAAUACAUGCAAGUCGAGCGAACAGACGAGGAGCUUGCUCCUUCGACGUUAGCGGCGGACGGGUGAGUAACACGUAGGUAACCUACCUAUAAGACUGGGAUAACUUCGGGAAACCGGAGCUAAUACCGGAUAAUAUUUCGAACCGCAUGGUUCGAUAGUGAAAGAUGGCUUUGCUAUCACUUAUAGAUGGACCUGCGCCGUAUUAGCUAGUUGGUAAGGUAACGGCUUACCAAGGCAACGAUACGUAGCCGACCUGAGAGGGUGAUCGGCCAAACUGGAACUGAGACACGGUCCAGACUCCUACGGGAGGCAGCAGUAGGGAAUCUUCCGCAAUGGGCGAAAGCCUGACGGAGCAACGCCGCGUGAGUGAAGAAGGUCUUCGGAUCGUAAAACUCUGUUAUUAGGGAAGAAAAAACGUGUAAGUAAAUGUGCACGUCUUGACGGUACCUAAUCAAAAAGCCACGGCUAACUACGUG